AUUGAGACAAAUUUAUUGGGUUGCGGUCAUAUAAGCACAUGUCUGUGUGAGACAUGAGCUCUCACCCAAACCAAUAAACCAAACCAAACAUUAUUUCUGCAACAGAGAUAAGGUGAUGAUGGACUAAGAAAUGUAGUUAUAAAAAAAUGGAGAUGUUGGCCAGGCAAUUAAUGAACAAAUAGCCCAACCCAUAUUGUGUCACUUACCGUGGUUAUUGGCCUCUUCUCUGUCUUUAGGAAUGUGGUAUUCAGGCAGACUUGAUACAGCAAGUAUAUCCAUUGGCAGCACUCUUUUAUUACAUGC